AUUUUCCUUCAGGAUGUUUAUUGGUUCGGGCAAAUCCGAACCAAACUGGAAUCCAAAUCAAACCAAGGUGUUUAGGUUAGGAAUUUUUUUAGUUCGGACAAAAACCGAAUCAAACCAAUAAAAUCCAAUGUUAAUUGGUUAUGGCAACAGAUUUCCAAAUUCUACUCGCGAGCCCGUCUACCAGAACCAACCAUAAUUAAUUUGUAUGAUUUAUAUCAUAAUUAUCAUGAAAACUAGUAUAAGAUAUUCAACUUCAAGAAAAAAACAAAAUGAAAC
rnacentral:lncRNA from 1 species